rnacentral:rRNA from 1 species
UGGGGAAUCUUGCGCAAUGGGCGAAAGCCUGACGCAGCAACGCCGCGUGGAGGAAGAAGGCCUUCGGGUUGUAAACUCCUGUCAGGGGGAAAGAAGGCACCUGGGUGAAUAGCCCAAGGGCUGACGGUACCCCCAGAGGAAGCCACGGCUAACUACGUGCCAGCAGCCGCGGUAAUACGGAGGUGGCGUGCGUUGUCCGGAAUUAUUGGGCGUAAAGAGGGCGUAGGCGGCUUGCCAGGUCCGACGUGAAACCCCGGGGCUCAACUCCGGACGUGCAUCGGAAACCGUCUUGCUAGAGUCUGGGAGAGGGGAGUGGAAUUCCUGGUGUAGCGGUGAAAUGCGCAGAGAUCAGGAGGAACACCGGUAGCGAAGGCUGCUCCCUGGAACAGUACUGACGCUGAGGCGCGAAAGCUAGGGGAGCGAACA